AUACGGAGGUUCCGAGCGUUAUCCGGAAUCAUUGGGUUUAAAGGGUCCGUAGGCGGGAAUCUAAGUCAGUGGUGAAAUCUUGCAGCUCAACUGUAAAAUUGCCAUUGAUACUGGAUUUCUUGAAUUAGUGUGAAGUGGUUAGAAUGUGUAGUGUUGCGGUGAAAUGCAUAGAUAUUACACAGAAUACCAAUUGCGAAGGCAGAUCACUAACACUAUAUUGACGCUAAGGGACGAAAGCGUGGGGAGCGAACAGGAUUAGAAACCCCGGUAGUCC
rnacentral:rRNA from 1 species